AUGAUUCAGAGUUACUGGUGGGGCGCUUAUAGAGGGAAGCGGAAGACGCACUGUAAGGCGUGGGAUUAUCUUCUGAAACCUAAAUCAUGUGGUGGUAUGGGGUUCAAGGAUUUCCGAAUGUUCAACCAAGCUAUGCUGACGAGACAAGCAUGGCGUAUAUUGGUGAAUCCUGCGACCUUGUGUGCACGAAUUUUGAGGGCACGCUAUUUCCCAAAUGGUCGUCUAGAGGACACAGUAUUUUCAACCAAUGCAUCACAAACUUCGCAAUCCAUAGUGCAUGGCCUGGAGCUGUUAAAAAAAGGCCUUGUAUGGCGAAUAGGAAACGGGCAUUCAGUCAGAAUAUGGCGAGACUCAUGGAUACUGCAUCCUACAGGUCGGCCACCCAUCUAG
rnacentral:rRNA from 1 species